rnacentral:rRNA from 1 species
UACGGAAGGCAGCAGUGGGGAAUAUUGCACAAUGGGCGCAAGCCUGAUGCAGCCAUGCCGCGUGUAUGAAGAAGGCCUUCGGGUUGUAAAGUACUUUCAGUCGUGAGGAAGGUGUUAAGGUUAAUAACCUUAGCAAUUGACGUUAGCGACAGAAGAAGCACCGGCUAACUCCGUGCCAGCAGCCGCGGUAAUACGGAGGGUGCGAGCGUUAAUCGGAAUUACUGGGCGUAAAGGGCACGCAGGCGGUUAAUUAAGUUGGAUGUGAAAUCCCCGGGCUUAACCUGGGAAUGGCAUUCAAGACUGGUUAGCUAGAGUCUUGUAGAGGGGGUAGAAUUCCAUGUGUAGCGGUGAAAUGCGUAGAGAUGUGGAGGAUACCGGUGGCGAAGGCGGCCCCUGGCAAAGACUGACGCUCAUGUGCGAAAGCGUGGGGAGCGAAACAGGGAUUAGAUACC